ACCCCUUUGAGCUUAAACAGUUGAAUCUCGGCUUGAAAUAAGGCGAGAUUUUAAAAAUCUUUUUUCUUGAAACCCUGAAAUUUUUGGUAAUUGUUCUUUUGCCGUAAAAAGUCAAGAUCAUUCACUUAGGGUGAGUAAGAGAUAAGUUGGGGAGAACGAAAAUGAGAAUCGGUAAGUGCCACAACUCUUGAAUAACUGAGCAAGCAUUGAAAAAAAUUAGAAAAGAGAAACAUCUGUUUUGUGAAUACGAUGUGAAAAGAAAAGAAAAAAAUAGAGAAUAG
rnacentral:lncRNA from 1 species